rnacentral:tRNA from 1 species
AGCGGGAUAGAGGAGUCAGGAGUCCUCACUGGGCCCAUAACCCAGAGAUCGUGUGGUUCAAAUCCCACUCCCGCUA